AUUGAACGCUGGCGGCAGGCCUAACACAUGCAAGUCGAGCGGAUGAAAGGAGCUUGCUCCUGGAUUCAGCGGCGGACGGGUGAGUAAUGCCUAGGAAUCUGCCUGGUAGUGGGGGACAACGUUUCGAAAGGAACGCUAAUACCGCAUACGUCCUACGGGAGAAAGCAGGGGACCUUCGGGCCUUGCGCUAUCAGAUGAGCCUAGGUCGGAUUAGCUAGUUGGUGAGGUAAUGGCUCACCAAGGCGACGAUCCGUAACUGGUCUGAGAGGAUGAUCAGUCACACUGGAACUGAGACACGGUCCAGACUCCUACGGGAGGCAGCAGUGGGGAAUAUUGGACAAUGGGCGAAAGCCUGAUCCAGCCAUGCCGCGUGUGUGAAGAAGGUCUUCGGAUUGUAAAGCACUUUAAGUUGGGAGGAAGGGUUGUAGAUUAAUACUCUGCAAUUU
rnacentral:rRNA from 1 species